UAACACAUGCAAGUCGAACGGUAACAGGAAACAGCUUGCUGUUUCGCUGACGAGUGGCGGACGGGUGAGUAAUGUCUGGGAAACUGCCUGAUGGAGGGGGAUAACUACUGGAAACGGUAGCUAAUACCGCAUAACGUCGCAAGACCAAAGAGGGGGACCUUCGGGCCUCUUGCCAUCGGAUGUGCCCAGAUGGGAUUAGCUAGUAGGUGGGGUAACGGCUCACCUAGGCGACGAUCCCUAGCUGGUCUGAGAGGAUGACCAGCCACACUGGAACUGAGACACGGUCCAGACUCCUACGGGAGGCAGCAGUGGGGAAUAUUGCACAAUGGGCGCAAGCCUGAUGCAGCCAUGCCGCGUGUAUGAAGAAGGCCUUCGGGUUGUAAAGUACUUUCAGCGGGGAGGAAGGGAGUAAAGUUAAUACCUUUGCUCAUUGACGUUACCCGCAGAAGAAGCACCGGCUAACUCCGUGCCAGCAGCCGCGGUAAUACGGAGGGUGCAAGCGUUAAUCGGAAUUACUGGGCGUAAAGCGCACGCAGGCGGUUUGUUAAGUCAGAUGUGAAAUCCCCGGGCUCAACCUGGGAACUGCAUCUGAUACUGGCAAGCUUGAGUCUCGUAGAGGGGGGUAGAAUUCCAGGUGUAGCGGUGAAAUGCGUAGAGAUCUGGAGGAAUACCGGUGGCGAAGGCGGCCCCCUGGACGAAGACUGACGCUCAGGU
rnacentral:rRNA from 1 species